GGACCCUAAGUUCACAUACGAGGUAGUCGUAGUUGACGAUCUCAUAUACCCGCAGCACUGACCACACCCUUUUGGGCGUGGCCACAGGGUGUUUUCAGUUCUCGAGGAGAGACGAUCCUCAUGGCUGAUGCUGAUGGAGCCACGAAGUUUCCAGAUGUUGAAAAACUAGAAAAGGGGCUGAGCGCUCUUCAGCCAUGGCCUGAUCAGAUGGCCAUUGCUUGUGGGUCUCGAGUUCAUUUGGAGAAAGAAUCCAUUGCUCAGGACACCCCUUCUGCCAUCUCUCCCAAGGGUCAAGUUAUGCUGGAAGAAAGACAAAGGGUGAUCUGGAGAUGUAGAUCACUGUCACAGUCCCUCCAGAACUGAAGAAUGAAAAGGAGAAGACGGGAUCACUGGUUCUGUUUAGGCUCAUCCUAAUUCAGAGCAGUGGGGGGGGGGGGGAGGAGCAGACUCAAGAGGAGUGUCUGCCUUGACCCACACUGCUUACUUUUCCCCCUCUCUCCAUGUUCCUAAUAUUUUUUUCUGGUAAUCAGCAAGGGGAUCCUUUGGUAAGGUGAGAGCUGUGCAGGCCAGGAGAAGGCACCCAUAGCUACAGGACCUUGCUUUUUCCUUGGGCAGAGAUGAAGUGCCCUGUUGGGAGAGGACAUCCUGCCCUGCCAAGGGUAUUGUCCUAGAGCCUAUAAGAUACUUCAGAGGGGUUGUGUAAGUCCCUGAUGAUCCUGUCAGUAAUAAGUGGGCAUGAGAAAGUAGAGGGACUAUGCCUCCCUGAGGUCAGCUCAUCCCAAGCACAGGUUUGUGGGAGAAGCCAGGGUCUCCUGGUAAGCAGUCUGGUGAGCAUCUUCCAGAGAGCUUCUGAGAAUCUAUGAGAGUACUAAGAGCAGAGAUGACUUCAUGGAACAGCCUGGGGGAACUGAGACAUAGGCUGGCCUACUCGGUACAGUCUUCUCCUGGUUUUAAGUACUGGUUUUACCCUCCCCAAUGAAAUGGAUAGACAUCCUAACGCUAGGAAAUAGUGAAGAAAGGAACUGUCUGUCUCCUUUGGGAAGGAAACAUUUUGACAUAGAGUCAAUGGAUAUCACAGGCUGGUCUGAAACUCAGUUAUCCUCCUGCUUCCGCUUACAAAAUACUGAGAUCAAAGAUGUGGUCCGCCAUAAUGGGCAUUUAUAUUUGUUUAUUUGCACUGUUUAAAGACAGGGUCUUGAUAUGUAGACAAAGCUGCCCUGAAACUCAAAAUCUUGUUGACUUCGUAUCCAAAGCACUGGAAUUAUAGGUGUACACCAAUGUGCACAGUUGAGUCCUGAUCUCUUUCGUAAACCUCUGAUGGGUUUUUCAAAGCCCUCAGCUUUGAGUUCGGAAGACAGUUCUAAUGGAAAAAGCACUUGCUGCCAAACUUGUUGACCUCAGUUCGAUUCCCUGAGUUCAUGUGAAAGACCCCGGCCCAGCGCAAGCAGCUGAGGCUUAUGGAAAACUCCUUUCCCCCACAGCUCAGCCAUUUUUUAU